UGGGGAAUAUUGCACAAUGGGCGCAAGCCUGAUGCAGCCAUGCCGCGUGUGUGAAGAAGGCCUUCGGGUUGUAAAGCACUUUCAGCGGGGAGGAAGGCGUUAAGGUUAAUAACCUUGGCGAUUGACGUUACCCGCAGAAGAAGCACCGGCUAACUCCGUGCCAGCAGCCGCGGUAAUACGGAGGGUGCAAGCGUUAAUCGGAAUUACUGGGCGUAAAGCGCACGCAGGCGGUCUGUCAAGUCGGAUGUGAAAUCCCCGGGCUCAACCUGGGAACUGCAUUCGAAACUGGCAGGCUAGAGUCUUGUAGAGGGGGGUAGAAUUCCGGGUGUAGCGGUGAAAUACGUAGAGAUCUGGAGGAAGACCGGUGGCGAAGGCGGCCCCCUGGACAAAGACUGACGCUCAGGUGCGAAAGCGUGGGGAGCAAACAGG
rnacentral:rRNA from 1 species